rnacentral:rRNA from 1 species
AGCAGCCGCGGUAAUUCCAGCUCCAAUAGCGUAUAUUAAAGUUGUUGCAGUUAAAAAGCUCGUAGUUGAAUUUCGGGAUCAAUAUAUCGGUCGUGCCUUCGGUACGUACUGGUAUCAUUGGUUUCUCCCUUCUGAAGAUCCGUGAUGUCAUUAAUUUGUUGUCGCAGGGAAUCAGGACUGUUACUUUGAAAAAAUUAGAGUGUUUAAAGCAGGCUCACGCUUGAAUACAUUAGCAUGGAAUAAUGAAAUAGGACGUUUGACCCUAUUUUGUUGGUUUCUAGGAUCGACGUAAUGAUUAAUAGGGAUAGUUGGGGGCAUUAGUAUUCAAUUGUCAGAGGUGAAAUUCUUGGAUUUAUUGAAGACUAACUACUGCGAAAGCAUUUGCCAAGGAUGUUUUCAUUAAUCAAGAACGAAAGUUAGGGGAUCGAAGACGAUCAGAUACCGUCGUAGUCUUAACCAUAAACUAUGCCGACUAGGGAUCGGAUGAUGUUAAUUUUUAAUGUACU